rnacentral:piRNA from 1 species
UGUCACAGCACUUCAACUGUUUCAAGGACC